rnacentral:lncRNA from 1 species
AAAAGGUAAGUCAUUUUAAACUUUAUUGGCAGGAUGUUGUUAGCGGGUCUAAUGCAACCUCAGUCACAGUAAUUGAAGCAGUGAAUAACUCAUCAACAUCUUUUGGUAUGGUAAAUAUAUUUGAUAACUCGUUAACCAUUGGGCCAAAUUUGAGCUCAAAAACGGUUGGAAAGGCUCAAGGGCUUUACGCAUCUACGGGACAAGAAGAUACUUCAUUAUUGAUGAUUAUGAGUUUUGCAUUCACUGAUGGCAAGUACAAUGGUAGCACAUUCAUUGUGCUAGGACGGAACAAUAUAAAUGCUGAGGUAAGGGAGAUGCCAAUAAUCGGUGGCAGUGGACUUUUCCGAUUUGCUAGAGGCUAUGCUCUAGCAUCAACUUACAACGAUGGCGCCACCAUUGAAUACAAUUGUUAUGUCAUACAUUAUUGAUUUUUUUUUUUCUAAUUUUUAGUGGAGCUUUAGUUCACGAUAGUUAUAUACUUGAAUAAUUGUGUGUUCCCACCAUAGCUAAGUGAGAUUCUCUAGUUUUUCUUAAUUUGAAUAAAUUAGGUGGCUCUUACUUCACCUAGAUGAAUGUAAGCAUACUAUAAUAAAAUAAAAUAAAAUGCUUAUUUGUGUGGAUUAAUUACUUUCUUGAAAUUUGUUAAACCGUACAUUAUUCUAAAAAAAAAAAAUUGGAGAGAAGUAGAUUUAAAAGCUUAUAUCAACAAAGUUGAAGCGGUAUCACUUUUCUAUUCAACUUAAGCCCGUCUUUGUGGGUUGAUUUGAUAUGUUUGAUUUAUGACAUAUAUGACUUUUGAAUAUAAGGCUAAUUGGGUGAACUACCUUUGCUUUGUUUAAUAAGAAUGACAUAUUUCUUUGAUUUCACAUGACUUAAAUUAUCUUAACCAAACCAAAAUAUAUUCAACUUUCACUAAUUUUUAGUCAUAUAUUAUGAUAAUGAAGUGUGAACACGCUCAAAAAUUUGAGCAGCAUUCUCAUUUACAAAAAUGUUUUUAAGAAAUGUUUUGAUGAAAGUUAUAAAUUUUAUUUACCUUGACGUGAUACAUAAGUUGACUUUUUCUUUUAUUUCACUUAAGAUAUGAUUUAAUUGAACAUAUUUCAAAAGAAGAUAUGAUUCUUAAACAACAAUCUUUGCCCAUUAUUUACAAAUUCUACAAGGUCCAUAGCUAAGGUUUGAAUCAAAAUGGGCUAAAAAUUAAUGUCAUCUCAAUUUUGCUUCAUUUUUUAGACAAGCAAUCAUGACGGUGUUCAAUAAGUUCAUGUGUCUAUAACAAGCAAGCAACUAUAAUAGAAUAAGACCAUUUUUAUUUUUAUUUUUGCUAUUUGUAUGGUCCAAUAUGUUGCGCUCAUUACAAUUUGAGCCAUAGCCUAAUGGGCUUUUUACCCCAUGAUGUGGUUACCAAUUAAAAAUUGGACCUCAUUAGGGUUCACCAAGUAUAAAGCCCCUUUACCCUUGAAGAUUAAAUGGAGAUUAUUUGUCAUAGGUGAAAAGAGAGAGAGAGACUUAUAUUUAAACUUUUAAAUUGAAAGACCCUUGACCACUAAUUGUUAAUCUAAGUGAAUGAAAGAAAAAUCAAAUAACUCUCAUUUUGAGCAUUCAAGAGUAUCUUUUUUAGAAAAUUGAUAAAAUAAUAUGAUUAGAUAAUUUGGUUAGAAAAAAUAAUAUAUAUAUGAAAGGUUUGGUAUAUUGGUGCCAAACAAUACAUAAGAAAAUACUACAAUUAGAGAAAAAAGUUGGGAACAAUGCAUGUAUGUAUGUCACUAAUUUUUUAGUUAGGAAAACUUGUGUUUUGGGUCGGCCAUUUGCAAAUAAUAUGGUUUCCAAAACCCAAGAAUAGGAAAUCUAGGAAUCAGUUUGUUAAUAUGGAAAAUAAUAUUGUUUUGUGCACUCUAUGCUAACUUUUUUUUUUCUGUGCCCAAAUUGCCCUCACCCACUCUCCAUGUCAAUAGUCACAUUAACAAGUUGUUUCCAAAACAAAAAAAAUAAAAUACAAAAAAUACAAAAACAAAAAAUUAUGUUGUUUAAAAUUUUAGGGAAACUUCAUUUCUCUCAUUCACUUCCUUACCACACCCAAGACCCAUAUUCCCAAAACUUCUUCAUCUCAUUUUGCCCUAACCCCAAAUCUGAAAUAUCCCAACAUUUGAAAUCCGAAAACGAUUGAUUUUACAACAACUGAGGUUUUCCCUUCACCAUGAACCCCAAAUAGAAAACCCUAAUCUUGAAACCCAUAUUUUCUUUUUUCAUUAUCAAAGUUGAAUUUUUUUAAGGUUUCUAGAAACCAAACUGAAGUUUUCCCUUGUUUCAGAUGAAUCGAUCGCAAAUGAGUUUUCUGAGAAAAUAAAGGCUAGUAAGAAAAACACCUAAAAGGGGGGUGAAUUGGGUUUGUCAAAAACUUUUUCAACACAACUAAUUUAAGCACAAUAUAAGCAAAUAUAAAGAGAUAGAGUUAGAGAAUUCAAACUCAGAUUUUAUAGUGGUUCGACACUUUCUUACUUACGUCCACUUUCCUUAAGCUCCUAACCAAGUGAGAGUUCCACUAACUUGAAGCUUCAACCAAGUUUCUAAUCUUCUUUACACUUGGAUUCCGGCUCCAAUGGGUACUUACACAAUCUCUUCAAGAUUCAACACACUUGAAGACUCUAACACUCAAUUUACAAAAAUGAUUUUCUCUCAACCUAGAUCAAUAAUGACUCAAAUACAAAUCAAAGUUAAGAUGGCUCACAAGGGUGCACUAAAAGAUAUGCAAGUGAAGAUUUAAUGUACUAAGAAAUAAAUGAGAGCUUUUAAGGCAAGAACAAGUGGGUAGACAAUUGAAUGCAAGCGUUCUUUUCUACAUAAAUGAAGUGGAACUCUCAAUUUAUAGGUUUUUAAGCUCGGGAGCCAAGAAAAGCAAAAAGCAACCUUAACCGGUCGAGUUGGGGGUCAACCGGUUUACUAGCGAUUGUAACAUUUAAUACUUUGGCAGGUUACCGUUGCCUCGAUUGGACCUCGACUGGAGGUUGACCGGGAAAGAGGGUACCUCAACCGAGAAAGAAAGGCUAUUGGAUGAGAGAUAGUGUUUUUGACACUCCUCGACUGGACCUCAUCUGAUAAGGGCAACCGGUCGACCGAUUCCCUGGCCGAUUGAGUCGGUUGGUUUGUGUCUCGAUCAGUUCAGCCUUUUGGCCCCGAAAACCUAUCUUUUUCAGUUCUUUUCCUUUCUAACACUUAGGCAAGGUCUUUAGGUAAAUUAAUAUGUCAAUUUUGAAAUAUUUUGCCUCAGAUACAUUUGAUAAAACUCGGGUUUUAAUGAAAUUGUAACUUUAAAGAAUAAACUGAGUUUUCCAAAAAUGCAUAAAAAGAUAUGUAAAACCAUAGUGCACCCAUACAUUCAUCUUACAUUUGUUUCCUAUGAUUAAAAGUCUUCCAAAUGUCUCGAUCUUGUAUCCAUUUGGUCGUUUGAUGAAUUUCCAAAUUUAUACCUGAGAUUCUUUACAAUUCAAACCAAUUAGUCACUUAACCAUGGUUUGUUAUCAUCAAAAUUUGAUUAGGAGACCCCUUGGGCUAACAAUCUCCUAUUUUUUUAUGAUGACAAACCUUGGUUAUCUAGGAGAAGAAAAAAAUCUCUCCCUCAAACCAAUCAUGGAUCAAUCAAUCAAAAUUUACGAUGUUAAAACAAAGAUAAUGAAAACAUGCGAAUUUUCAAUAGGAAACGAUGUAAGUCGUGAAACAUAUAACAUAUCAUAUAUAUAGUAAAGUCAAAUGUACACGAAACAUAAACAUAUAAGCUAAUCCAAACAGAUGAUAUGACAAUGAUAUGCAUGAGUCUCCUAGAUACUAAAUAUCUCUCCCCCUUUUGGCAACAUAAAAAAGAAACGAAGGGAGAUCUCUAUGAAAUCAAGGUUGAGGAGGUGGAAGUGGAAACACGGAGUGUAGGUAAACCAUCAUCUACUCAUGUUGACUUUCCUGGUGACUCUCAAUAAGCUUUAUCCUCUGCUGGAGAUGUUUAAACACAGGUUGCUGCUGAUCUAUGCGAUUCUUCAUACGCUCAAAUCUCUGCUACAAAUACUCAAAAUGAAAUGUGAAGUCAGUCUUAUACUUAUCCAUGUGAUCCUCCAUAGAGUAGAAUCGAGUAUCACUAACUACUGCAAACUCCUCCAUGCGAGUGUCGAGAGAGCUAAUCUAAGCAGAUAAAUCCAUCCAAGGUGCAUGAUCAGGGGCGUGAGGUGCCUGAUGAGGUGAUGUCUCUGUGUAAGAAGGCUCAGUGAAAGAUGGCUGAGAAGAUGGUCCCGCUGUGUAAGCCAACUCAGAGAAUGUGGCUUCAAACUAAACACCCUCGGACUAGAGUGGAAGAAUGUCAAGCUCAGGCUCUCUCUACUCAAAGCCUCUCUAAGGGUCUAAUCCACCCUCCAUCUCUCGUAUCUCAGCCUCUUCCUCUACUCCAUGAUGCACAUGUCCCUGUCCCCAAGCCUGUGUUGGUGGUCUCUCUCCUAUCUUGAUCCAGGAACCAUCGGGGGCCUUCUCAAAUUUCAUUUGCCCCAAGGACUGCUCAUCAUAUGUGACGUAAAUGCUGGGAACCUCAAAAUUUGUCUCCCUGCUCAAAUCAACCCCAACAUCCUUGAACACUCUAGUGAGAAAGCGGUUAUAUGGGAGUACGCGGGUCAUGCUCUCACAACAUGAUAUCAUGUGCAUCAUCAUCAAACACCCCACGUGAAUCCAUCUCCCCGUCAAAAUGGAGUCCAUGAGGAAUGUGUCAAGGUAGGAGACCUCAUCUCGGUGUUUGCCUCAUGGCAGUAUGAUGAAGCAGAUCAUGUGGUGAAAUACUCAACUGAUCAUGGUCAGGCUAUGGGUCGAUGGUUUGCCCAUCCCCUGGGCGUCUGCAAGUCUGCAAAUCCUCUAAAUGGCCUUUCUAGGCUCGAAACCUGACACAGUGGGCCAAGCCUUGGACUCAGACACCCUGAGUUCAACUGGAGCAAUAUUGAAAAUGUGGCAGAUGUUCUCUGGGUCCAACUGAAUCUCAACUCCUCUAACGGUGGAAAUAAUCAGGUCACCAAGUCCAUAUGUAGCCCUCAAAUAGAACGCACGCACCAAAGUCGGGAAAAUAGGCUCUAAAAUCGUCACUACUGGCAGCCAACCCAUCCAACUGAAAAAGCUCUCAAACCCGAAAUGCUGUAGUUGGGAGAGAUUGAUGCUUCUCCCUGGAACUACUUUUCUCUUAGCGAACUUUUGCUUGUAACUCUGAUAAUCAUCCAUGGUGCUAAAAAGAGUAGUGUCAAACCUCGCCUUUCGGUAAACCUUCGUCUAAGCAAGCUGAGGCGACUCAAUUGGGUGUUUGCCCUGUGCCCUAAAGGCAGUCAAUUCUCUUUUAGGAGCCAUGAGAAGACGUGAGACACUGAAGAAAGAGCUAGUAAAGAGAGAAAUGAACACAAUCAAAAUCCCUAGGCGCGUGGAAAUGGAAAACAAGUCGAUUGUGACAUGCAGAAGCACUCCAAAGCCGAAACCCUAGCCUCCAAUUGUCCCAAAAAUCCAUUUCAAUGCCUGCAAUUGGUCCAAAAUCUUGCUCAAACUGGUCUCUGGAAGCAGAAAUGUGAAAAACCCUGAAGAAAUGAAGGAGAACAGUGGAGAAAACGAAGCGCGGAGGCUCUUUAAAUUCCCAACCCCGACGAACCGGCUGACCGGUCUUGGUUCAGUCAACCACCUGGUCAAUGGGUUUGACUUUUAACCUUUUGUGCAUUUUCUUGUCUCGUGGUCCUCCUCCUGCUCUUUUCAGUUGAAAUCCCCAAUUUUUUAUGCCCAAUGCCAAGGGAAUUUUGAUUUUUGGUUAAAAUUUUGACCAUUUAUCUAAGUAUAUGUUUAUAUGAUGCAAAUGACAUGAAAUUCAUGCAAUCAUAAGGAAUAUUCAUCAAGAAUUGAUUAAGCAAUCAUUAGAUCAUAAAGAAAUCACCCCUAGUUGUCUUCUAAUAUUAACAAAUUGUUCUUCACUUAGAGGUUUUGUAAAUAUAUCUAAAAGUUGAUAUUUUGUGCUUACAAAUUCAAGUGUUAUGCCAAUAUUUUGUGCAUGGUGUCUAAGAAAAUGAUAUUUAAACUCUAUAUGCUUAGUCUUAGAGUGUUGUACGGGAUUUUUUGAAAUAUUUAUGGCACUAGUGAUAUCACAUUUAAUAGGAACAUGCUCAAAAGAUAAAUCAAAAUCACUAAGUAUUUGAUGAAUUUCCAAAUUUAUACCUGAGAUUCUUUACAAUUCAAACUAAUUAGUCACUUAAUCAUGGUUUAUAUCAUCAAAAUCUGAUUAGGAGAACCCUUGGGCUAACAUUUUCCAUUUAAGGAUUUGUUUGGUUGUUGAUAAAGUCUUGGGGUCGAAGGUCUUUGUUUGAAGAAGACCCAAUUUUAGGGAUUGCAUGAGUUGGAAUUUCUUUUAUUUUGCUUCAUUUUCGCAUGAAUGAAAUAAAGGAUAAAUUUGUUUUGGUUAAAUAUAUGUUUGUAUUUGUAAAUAAAGUAGAAAAUUUUAUUUUCUUUCCAUGAUUUGUGUUAUCAUCAUAUUUGUAGGGAAAUUAGUUGAUCUAUAUUAUUGCUAGUUGAUGGAUUUUUUCUUUUAAUUUUAAUGGGAUAUAUGACAAUUAAUACUAGCAAAUAAAGAUAUGGGAAAGAUUCUAUGCUUGGUUGUUUUUAAUUGUAAUUGAUUUACUAAACUAGUUCAUGUUUGAUUUAAUAACAAAUUAAAUUAGUUCAUACUAUGUGAUGUAUUGUUGAUAACUUGUAUCUGCAUAUUUUGAUUCUUUGAUGGUUCGAUUUAUUGUUUGUAUGAAAUGUUCAAUGUUGCUUUAGUUUGUAGGAGGUGGAAUAAAAAUGUUUGAAAAAACUGACUAUAAGAAAUAGUGUAAAGGAUUUGCAUGAAUUGGUUGAGAGAAUGGAUAUGCAAAUGUGGAUUGCAUAUAUGUAUUAUGUUGGUGUGUAAGAGUCUUUGGUUAUUGUCUUGAACAAAGUAUGUUGUAUAUCACCUUAUUUAGUUACAUUUGCAUUCACUUACUGGUAUUUUAAUACACAUGUGUAAAAGAACAAAUAUAAAUUUAAUUAUGAAUGAACAUAAAUGUUAGCCCAAAGGUUCUCCUAAUCAAGUUUUGAUGAUAACAAAUCAUGAUUAAGUUACUAAUUGGUUUGAAUUAUAAAGAAUUUCAGGUAUUAAUUUGAAAUUUCAUCAAAUAACCUAAUGGAUGCAAGAUCAAGACUUUUGGAAGACCGUUAAUCAUAGGAAACAUAUGUAAGAUGAAUGCAUGGGUGCACUUAAGAUUUACAUAUCAUUUCAUGCAUCUUUGAAAAACUUAGUUUAUUCUUUAAAGUUACAGUUUCAUCAAAACCCUAGUUUUAUCAAAAGAAUCUUAGGCAAAUCACUUCAAAAUUGGAAUAUUAAUUUAUCUAAAGACCUUGCCUAAGUGUUAGAAGAGAAAAUACAAAAAAAAUAUAGGUUUUCGAGUCAAAAAUGGUGAACCGGUCAAGCCUCUGUCCAAACCGGCUCAAUCGGCCACGGUACCGGUCAGCCGGUUUCCUCUUCCUGAUCGAGGUCCGGUCGAGAGGAGCAAAAAACACUCUCUCUCUCUCUUCUAGUAGUCUUUCCUUCCCGGUCGAGGUCUAGUUGAGGGUAAUGGUCACCUGCCAAGUAUUAAAUGAUCCAACAACUAGUGAAUCGGUCGACUCCCAGCUCGACCGGUUGAGGUUGCUUUUUGGUUUUCUUGGUUCCCGAUAUUAGAAACCUAUAAAUAAAGAGCUUCACUUCAUUUAUGAGCAAGAGAACACCUACAUUUAUUUGCCCACCCACUUGUUCUUGCCUUAAAAGUUCUCAUUCUUUUCUUGGUGCAUUAAAUCUCCAUUUGCAUACUCUUUAGUGCACCUUUGUGAUUCAUCCUAACCUUGAGUUGUAUUUGAGCCUUUGUUAAGCUAGGUUGAAAGAUUCAUACUUGUUAAUUAAGUGUUAAAGCCUUCAAGUGAAUUGAAACUUAAAGAGAUUGUGUAAGAGCCUAUUGGAGCCAGAAUUCAAGUGUAAAGGUGAUUAGAAGCUUGGUUGAAGCUUCAAGUUAGUGGAACUCUUACUUGGUUAAGAGCUUGAGGAGAGUGAACGUAGGCAAGGAAGUGUUGAACCACUAUAAAAUCUGAGUUUGAUUUCUCUAACCUUAUCUCUUUAUUUUUGUUUCUCUUGUGCUUAAAUUUGUUGUGUUUAAAAAGAAUUUUUAAAAACUCAAUUCACCCCCUCUCUUGGAUGUUUUUCUCUUUUAAGAUUAGCCUUUAUCUUCUCAAUAAGUUAUAUAGAAAUGGUGACAGAUAUUUCAUAUUUGGAUGUGAUAUCAUAUUGGAAUUUGUUGUUAAGAAAAAUAAGAGCAUGUUUGAAAUGAAUGUGAUUUAGUGCUUUUUUUGUUUUGGGGAAAGUAUGUUUUGGAUUGGAGAUGUGAAUAUGAAUAGGAUUUCUGAAGCUAAGAUGGUCGAAAUUGAAGAAAAAUAUGCUUCGGUCGAAAGUUAUUACAUAUUGGGCAGUUAUUUGUUUUUGUAGGUUAGUCUUUUGUUAAUCUUAGGUUCUACCUUCAUUAAACUUUGGUACUACUUUUAUUAAAUGAUCGCUCAGAUUUUUUGUCGUUUGUUGGAUCAAAACAAAAUUUAUAACCUAAUUCACUCUUCUAUAGCAAUUUGUACCUGAUCAAAAAUUGGCUUUAGUACAAACUACUGUAGCAUAGUGGUUUUUAGGUAUCGUCCACAAGGAUGGAUUAUUCUUGGUGAUUAAGGCUUGAAUGAGAUGAUAAGAAGUGAUUGUGAAAAAGUGAAAUCAACUUGAAAUUGCAUGAUAAAAUUCCAAAUUAACAAUGUAUUCAAAUUGAAUUGAAAAUGAAGUUUAAAAGAGAAGAAAAUUUAUAAGAGGUGAGAUUCUCGGAGUUAGGAUUUUCUAGAGAGCAAUUUCCAUGGUGAAUGGGUGUUAAGAUCUAAUUUUCAUCAAGUUAGAUUGAAAACCUAAAUUUUCAUCUAAACCGAUUUUUGAUUUAACUUUAGAUCUAGAUCUAAUUUCUCUUCAAAUUAGGUAAUCUAAUCUAAGAGAUCAAUUUGAAUCAUAUAUUCAAUUCAUCUUAAAUUAUCUUCCAAUGAUUUCACACNNNNNNNNNNNNNNNNNNNNNNNNNNNNNNNNNNNNNNNNNNNNNNNNNNNNNNNNNNNNNNNNNNNNNNNNNNNNNNNNNNNNNNNNNNNNNNNNNNNNNNNNNNNNNNNNNNNNNNNNNNNNNNNNNNNNNNNNNNNNNNNNNNNNNNNNNNNNNNNNNNNNNNNNNNNNNNNNNNNNNNNNNNNNNNNGUCUUCCGGAUGCUUCUUCAUCAAGGAAUCUGGAGAGAAUGCCCUUUCGCACGAGCCCCAAGUGAUCCCGCAUGAUGGUGCGAAGUGAAGAAUCAAUCAGCUGGAAUUUCGUUCUUCUGGAGCGUUUCGCAUGACUGUGCGAAAAUUUCGCAUGGUCAUGCGAAAUCACUUCUUCACAAUUUCCUCAUAUGCUGCAGCCAUACUCUCUCUGUUUCAUUUCGCAUGAUUGUGCGAAAAUUUCGCAUGGUCAUGCGAAAUCGAAAAUCAUGCUAUUCCGGUUCUUCUUUGCAAAUUCUCUCAUUUGUUCAUGUUUAAUCCAUCUCCACCACCUUCAAUUAAGCUCCAAAGCUUGGUCCAAGUGCAUUUCCUCUUCCUCUUCAUCCACAUUAUGUAUCCUCCUCCGUUCCAUUUUCCAUUUGUCACUCCAUGCUUCAAAAAUCACCUUAAAAUAUCUCCAAAACUCAACAAAGAACCAUUAGAAUCUCUUGCAAGGGUAGCAAUGUAUUACUUGGGCAUAUUAGGCAUAAUUACUACUCAAAAGGUGUGAAACUCAUGAAAGUUAGUAUCUAAAAUAUGUGGUUUUUGAGUAGUAAUCAUUAAACUUAAGGACUACCUUUAUUUAACUUAGGUACUACCUUUAUUAAACUUAGGUACUAUCUUAAUGCACCUUAGAUACUACCUUAAUCUACUUUAGGUACUAUCUUAAUGCAACUUAGGUACUAUUUAAAUGCAAACCUUAGGUACCACUUGGAUGUACACCUUAGAUACUUCUUGGAUGUACACCUUAGGUACUCCCUUAAUGCAAACCUAAGCUAAUCUUAUCUACUAUCUUAAUUGAGCUUAGGUACUUCAUUCGUGGAGUAUAGGUACUUGAUUUGUGGAUCAUAUGUGCUUAAUUUGUUAACCUCGUGUAGUUCAUUUGUCAAUCUUAGGUACUACCCUUCUCAAUCAUAGGACCUAGUUUUGGCAUUGGUACUAGCUUGGAAUCCAUAGUUUGAAGACAAAUUGAGAAAUAUGGAACUUUCAAACUCAAUACACAAAUUGUUUAAUUGCAUUUUAUAUAUGAGCAUAACAUUAUUAUGUUGUACUAGGUUAGUGAGUUGGUUGGCCUUAAACGUGACAUUACUAUGAUGAAAUCUAUAGUUUAUAGGGUUGAUUUUCUUUUAAGGAUGAAUCAUGUAAAGGUGUGGUAUUAAAAAAAAUAUAGAUUUUUUAAAGAAUUUUCACAAAAUAAAUCAAGAAAUAUGCACUCAAAUAGUAAUGUUGUUAAAAUUCUAAAAGUGUCCCCUCAAGUAUUUUCUCUUCGACCAGCUAAUCCAUUUGUUUUGUUUUGCUUUGUUUUUCCUUUUUUAUUUUUAAACCUUCAUAUGAUAAGUGAAGAUAACUUCAUGAUGUUUAUCAAAUUGACACAUGGCUAAUUAAUAUGGCAUAUUAUUUUCCUUUUUUUUCUUCUUCUUCAUUUUACCUAUAAAAUAAUGCACAUUUUUUUAAUAUGUUAGUUACACAUUGUUAUAAAAUCUUUUUAAUUUCAUUUUUUUUUUCACUUUUUCAUCUUUUCAUAUUUAUUAAUUAUAAUUAUUUAUAAACACUUUAAAUAUAAAAUAAUAAUAAUAUAUGAUAAAUAAUUAAUGAAGAAAUUAAUAUAAAAAUAAAUACAAAAUGAACAAAUUUAGAGGUUUAGAAUAUAAGAUUUUAUAUAUUCAUGUUAAAUAAAAUACUUAUUUUUUUGAUAAAUCUUAUCAUAUAUAGAUUAAAAAAUAUCUUUGUCGUUUUAUUUUAUUGUUUAUCUUUUUUAAUUUUUAAAUUUUCAUGUGAAAAUAAAAAUCAAUUGUCAUGAUUUUUAACUUUUUGCUUAUGAUUCUUACUUAAUUGUAAUUUUAACUUUUUUUUUUCUUAGUUAAAAUGUUUAAUAUUUUUCAUUAAAGAAGAUAAACUUGAUUGUGAUUUUAACAUUUUGUUUUGUUAAAAUUUUUAAUUUUUAAUUUAUAAAAAAUAAAAAAAUUUAAAAGCUGUAUUUAAUCAUUUAUAUUAAUUUCUAUCAAUUCUAUAUAAAAUAAAAAUAUUUUUUUUAUAAAAAAUUAUAUUUAGUUAUUUAUAUUAAUUUUCUCUUAAUUUUAUUAAAAAUUAAAAUUUUUGCAUACUAAAAUUAUGUAUUAAUAAACACAACUUUUGAAAAAUAGAGUAUCAUUCUUUUAUAUACUUAUUUCAUACGGAGUGGUACUCUUUUUGUACCAUUUUUCUAAUAGUUGUGUUGACCAAUACAUAAUUUCAGUAAAAUAAAAUUAAUAUAAAUUAUUAUAUACAAUUUUUUAUAAAAAAAAAUAUUUUUUAUUUUUAAAUUUAUAUAAAUUAAAAAUUAAAAAUUUUAAUAAAACAAAAUGUUAUAACUACACCAAAUUUUUGUCUUUUUUAAUUAAAAGACAUUAAGCAUUUUAGUAAAGAAAAAAAAAUUAAAACCUAGAUGCUAAAUCUCUAUAUUUGUUCAUCAUAUAUUUAUUUUUAUAUUAAAUUUGUUCUCACUAAAUAUUUAUUACAUGUUAUUAUUUUAUUUUUAAAAUAUCAAUAAAUAAUUAAAAUCCUAAAUAUGAAAAAUGAGAUAAAAAUAAAAUAAAAUUGAAAUGACAUCCUAAUGCCAACACAUUUAAAAAACAAUCAAAUAAAAUGGAAGAUACAGAUAUUACAGAGGUAGGGAAAAAGAAAAAAAAAUGAUGUGGUAUGGCUGAUUCCCAAGCGUCAAAUUUUUUGUUUAAAACAAAACAAUAAUAAUGACAAGCUCUUUGAAUUGUUGCGUGUCAAACUAAAACUAAAAAAAUAAAAAAUAAAAAAACUUUCAUAAUUGGCGGCUCAUGAGGAUUUUCUGAAACUGAUAUUUUUUUUUUAAAUGGCACACGUGUAACAUGACUCUCCCUUUUAUAAUGCUUCUGUCUCUCUCUCUCUCUCUCUCUCUCUCUCUCUCUCUCUCAUUCUAUGAUGGAAUUUAUAGUCGGUUGAUUUUUUUAAUGCCCAUGAGCAGCUGAUUUUUGAGGUAAUUGAAUAUUAAUGGCUGUGAGACCCAUUCUCAUAUGGUCUCUCUCUCUCUCUCAUAUUCUAGAUAGAAUCUAUAGUCUAUAGGGUUGAUUUUUUUUAAUGGUUGUGGGUUGCUGAUUUUUGAAGGAAAGUGAUUAAAUAUUAAUGGUCGUGAGACAGUCCCAUUUGGUCUCUCUCUCCCGCUCUCUCUCUCACAUUCUAUGAUAGGAUCUAUAGUCUAUGGGGUUGAUUUUUUUAAUGCCCAUGAGGAGAUGAUUUUUUAUGGAAAGUAAUUGAAUAUUAACGAUUGUGAGACCAAUUCUCAUAUGGUCUGCCUCUCCCUCUCUCUCUCUCUCUCUCUCUCUCUCUCUCUCUCUCUCUCUCUCUCUCUCUCUCUCUCUCUCUCUCCCCCUAUGAUAGACUUUAUAGUCAGUAGGGUCGAUUUUUUUUUAAUUGCCCUGAGCAGCUGAUUUUUCUAGGAAAGUGACAGAAUAUUAAUGGUUGUGAGACCAUUCUCAUAUGUUCUCUCUCUAUUUCACCCCCUCUCUAUAGUCUAUAGGGUUGAUUAUUUAUUUAUUUUUUAUGCCCAUGAGCCAUCGGCAGCUGAUUUUUGAAGGAAAGUAGUUGAGUAGUAAUGGGUUGGGACUUGUGAGACCCAUAAAUGUAGAAAGGAAUUCAAAAUCCUAAUAAAAAUGUAUUUCAAUGAAUAAUGAGUUUUUAAUUCAUAUUCUCAUGUUUAAUAAUUAAUUCACAUAAAAAAAACAAAUUAAAAGUGAAAUAGAUUUUUUAAUUUCAUUUUUUUGCUUCAAUGUCUCAAAGAUAUAUAAAAUAUGAGGAUUAUUCUCAUAUAUUUGAAAGGUUUACAAAAUGAUUCUAAAAAAAUAAUUUUUUUAAAAAUAUUCAAAAACAAGAAACUUGAUAAUUCAAUUUAAUUGCUUAAUUUAAAUUAUUAAAUAUAUUUAAUAAAAUAAUUUAAUGUUAAAAUUAUUUUUAUUUUUUAAUAUUAAAUUAAAAUAAUUAACUAAUACAAUUUCAAAGCCUUUUUACCUCAUUUUCCUCUACCAAUGUAAAAUAAUUAACAUAUACAUCAGACCUACCUUGACUCACAAGUUUGCCUUUUAAGUCUCCUUAUUUCCUGAUUUUAUUUAUUUAUACUUUAAUCUCAUUCUUUCUACUUAUAUCUAAAAGGUCUAAAUUUUUCUUUAUACUUUUAAAAAUGAGGAUUAAAAUUUCCAUAAAUACUAAAAUUCAUACUUUUUUUUUCUUUUUUCAAAUAACUAAAUAUUAGAUAAUUGAAAGUAAAUUCUUUUGGUCAAAACUUAUGUCUCAUAUAAUAAGUCAUUACAACAACAAUUUAAAAGUAUUAUUUUUUAUGAUUUAAUCAAGUAGAAUAAAAAAUUAAGUAUAAAAAAGGGAAAAUGUUGAAUAAACAAGAAGAAAGAAAUACCAAUAUUAAAUGAGAUUUUUUUUAUUUUAGUUUAAUUUUAAUAUUUUAUUAGUAAUUAAUGGUCAAUUUUUUUAUUUUUUUUUUGUAAUAAUAUUUAGUUGUCAUUAUUUUGAAAAUUAAAUUUACAUUUUUUUAGAGGGGGCAAAUUUUCUAUUUUGGUUUCUACUUUCCUAAAAAAGGUUUCACAUAUAAGGGAACUUUUUUGUUUCUAGAAUAUUGAAGGGGGGGGGACACGUGACCCCCUGAGUUGGGACAGAACUCGUUUUCUAGAAAAAGUUGGGCCCAACUAUGCCGUCGUCUUUCAAUGUUUUUUCCUUCUUUCCAUUUAAAAAACAAUGCGUGCUAUUACAAGUCGAUAAGACUUGCAUUUUGGUCAUUCUCGUUAGAAAAUCCCCCCUUUGUGUUUUGUCUUUGAGUGGUUGGCAACUACGACUUGGUCUUUGCGCAGUUGGUAAGUAUGACGCCUUGGAAAUUAGAAAAAUAUUAUUGUACGGAAAAUGAAACAUUCAAUAUAUGUAUAUAUAGCCUAGGUGUUCUGAGCAAAUGUAGAUAACUCAGGUUUUGUGAGCAAAGGCAUAUCAUAACUCAAGUUUUGUGAGCAAAGGGUGUGCACUGUAGCCAUGGCUAAAGCUCUCCUCGUUUCACCUUCCUACUUCAUCUUCUUCAUCUUCCUCAUUUUCUCUUCUGCCACAGUUUCAAUUUUCGGAGAAGAAUACAGCUAUGUCAAAAGUAUCAAUCCUAAGAAAAUGAAUAUGUUGAAGGAAAAGGUAACACACUUUCAACUUUAUUGGCAAGAUGUUGUUAGUGGGUCUAAUGCAACAUCGGUUACAGUGCUUGAAGAAGUGAAUAACUCGUCAACAUUGUUUGGUUCGGUUAGUAUAAUUGAUAACUCGUUAACCGUUGGGCCAAAUUUGAGCUCAAAAACGGUUGGAAAGUCCCAAGGGUUAUACGCAUCUACGGGACUAGAAGAAACUUCAUUAUUGAUGGUUAUGAAUUUUGCAUUCACUGAUGGCAAGUACAACGGUAGCACAUUCACCGUGGUAGGACGGAACAAUGUAAAUGCUAAGGUGAGGGAGAUGCCAAUAAUCGGUGGUAGUGGGCUUUUCCGAUUUGCUAGAGGCUAUGUUCUAGCAUCAACUUACUCAUUCAGCGACAACGGAGAUGGCACUAUUGAAUACAAUUGUUAUGUUAUACAUUAUUGAUAUUUUUUAUCUUUUUCUAGUUUUUUCAUGGAGCUUUGGUCCACAAUAGUGAUAUACUUAAAUAAUUGUGUGUUCCCACUAUAACUAAGUGAGAUUAUCUAGUUUUGUUUAAUUUGAAUAAAGGUGACUCUUCACCUAAUUUAAUGUAAGCAUAUUAUAAUAAAAUAAAAUGCUUAUUUGCGUGCUUAAUUACUUUCUUGAAAUUUGUUAAACUAUACUUUAUUCUUAAAAAAUAAAAAAAAUAUUGGAGAGAAGUAGAUUUCAAAGCUCAUAUCAACAAAGUUGAAAUGGUAUCACUUUUCUAUUCAACUUAGCCACUUUUUGUGAGUUGAUUUGAUAUGUUUAAAUUUUCACACAUAUAGCUUUUGAAUAUAAGGCUAAUUGGGUGGACUACCUUUACUUUGUUUAAUAAGAAUGACAUAUGUCUUUGAUUUCACAUGACUCAAAUUGUUUUAACCAAACUAAAAUAUAUUCAACAUCCACUAAUUUUUAGUCAUAUAUAAUGAUAAUGAAGUUAGGAAAAAAAAAACUAAAAAAUUUGAGCAACAUUCCCAUUUAUAAAAAUGUUUUGAUGAAAAUUAUAAAUUUUAUUACUUUGACAUGAUACAUAAGUUUAACUUUUUCUUUUGUUUCAUCUAAGAUAUGAUUUAAUUGAAAAUAUUUGAAAAGAAGAUAGGAUUCUUAAACAACAACCUUUUCCCAUUAUUUACAAAUUCUACAAGGUCCAUAGCUAGGGUUUGGAUCAAAAUGGCUAAAAAUUAAUGUCAUCUCAAUUUGGUUCAUUUUUUAGAUAAGCAAUCAUGAUGAUGUUGAAUAAGUUCUUGUGUCCAUAACAAGCAAGCAACUAUAAUGGAACAAGACCAUUUGUAUUUUUUGUUGCCAUUUGUAUGGUCCAAUAUCUUGGGCCCAUCACAUUUUGAGCCAUAGCCUAAUGGGCUUUUCACCCCAUGAUGUGGUUACCAAUUAAAAAUUGGACCUCAUUAGGGUUCACCAAAUUUAAAGCCCCUUAAGACCCUUGAAGAUUAAGUGGAAAUAACCAUUUGUCACAAAUGAAAAGUGAGAUAGAAACUUAUAUUUAAAAUUUUAAAUGGAAAGACCCUUGAACACUGAUUUUUAAUGUUAGUGAAUGAAAGAAAAAUCAAAUAACUCUCAUUUCAAGCAUUUAAGAGUACCAUCUCCUAGAAAACUGAUAAAAUAACCCUAUUAGAUAAUUUGGUUAGAAAAAAGAAAAUAUGAAGGGUCUGAUAUAUCAUUGUCAAACAACGCAUAAAAAAAAAACUAUAAAAGGACGAAUUUUCAUUGUAGGAUAAAGGAGAAUUUCUUAUUUUCAAUAAAUAAAAAAAUUUAAAAGUUUUGCAGCUUCAAUAAGUUCUAAUAAAUUUUAUCUUUUAUAUAUAAAUUAUUAUUAUUAUUAUUUUAUGAUUUUAAAAAAAUAUAUGAAAUAUGUUCAAAUGGGUAUUUAAUUAUAAAUAAAUGAUAACUAUUCUACUAUUUCUCUAAUACAAAAAUUAAAAAAAAACUAUUUGAAUAUUUUUAAAUGAAUUUCACAUUCAAAAAACUUUAAAUCAUUUUUUUUUUCUCUUCUUGGUUGUGAAAUAGUAGAUGAUGAAAAAUUAACCAUAAAUGAUUAAUUAUCAUCAUAAGUUUAAUCUUUAUCAAUUAUCCUUGUCCUAUUAAAGCAAGGUGACAAGUUGAAUUAAUGUGAUUAGGUUUAUGUAAGUUCAAAUCAAUUGUCCUCAUCCUUGUAUGAAAGUCAUGGACUCAUGGCAUGCGGCUAUAGCCCAUUGAAGGUAUAGAAGUAGUGUUAUUAAAGAUCAAACUUUAAGUAAAAAAAUUUUAAAGUAUUUUUUAAUAUUUUAUGGGAUACUAUUUUUAAAAAAUAAUAUUAAUUAAAUAAAAAAUCCUAACACUAAAACCCUGUAGAAAGAAGUUGGGAACAAUGCAUGCAUGUGCAUGUAUUUCAUGAGUUAUCUCUGAGUAUUGCCAUCCGUUGCCACUAAUUUUUUAGUCACCCUUUUUUCCCCUGAGAGAAUGGAGUGGAUGCCUUGGUGGAGCCUGUUUGCCAUCCAAAUGGGAGAUUGAAAUGCCUCUCUAUCCCCACCUGCUGCAGCAUCUCUCUCUCUCUCUCAUAUUCUAUGAUGGAAUCUUUAGUCUAUAAGGUUGAUUUUUUGAAUGCCCAUUACCAGCUGAUUUUUGAAGGAAAGGAAUUGAAUAUUAAUUCUCAUAUGGUCUCUCUCUCUUUCAUAUUCUUUGAAGAAUCUAUAAUCUAUAGAGUUGAUCACUUUUAAAUGCCCAUGAGCAGCUGAUUUUUGAAGGAAAGUGAUUGAAUAUUAAUGGCUGUGAGACCCAUUCUCAUAUCUUCUCUCUCCCUCUCCCCCUUUCUCUCUCAUAUUCUAUGAUAGAAUCCACAGUCAAUAGGAUUGAUUUUUUUUUUUUUUAAUGCCCAUGAGCAGCUGAUUUUUGAAGGAAAGUGAUUGAAUAUUAAUGGUUGUGAGACCCAUGCACUCUCAUAUGUUCUCUUUAUCUCCCCCUCUCUCUCAUAUUAUAUUAUAGAAUCUAUAAUCUAUAGGGUUGAUUUUUUUUAAUGCCCAUGAGCAGCUGAUUUUUGAAGGAAGGUGGUUGAAUCUUAAUGGGUUGUGAGACCCAUUAAUGUAGAGAGGAACUCAAAAUCCUAAUAAAAAUGUAAUUCAAUUAAUGAUGGGUUUUUAAUUCAUAUUCUCAUUUUUAAUAAUUAAUUCAAAUAAAAUAACAAAUUAAAAGUAAAAUAGAUUUUUUAAUUUCAUUUUUUGUUUCAAUGUCUCAAACAUAUGUAAAAGAUAUGAUGAUUAUUUUUAAGGUUUAUAAAACAAUUCUAAAAAAAGUAGAUUUUUAAAAAAUAUUUAAAAGUAAGGUGUUUGAUAAAUCAACUUAAUUACUUAAUUUUAAUUAUUAAAUAAAUAAAAUAUAUUUUAUAAAAUAAUUUAAUAUUAAAAUUAUUUUUUAUUUUUAAUAUUAAAUUAAAUAAUUAAUUUAUAUUUAAUUUCAAAACCUUUUCACCUCAUUUUUCCGUACCCAUGUAAACUAAUUAACAUAAAUACCGGACCUACUUGGGUCACAAGUUUGAAUGGUAAAAUGACAAUUUUAUCCAAUAGGAUGAAGGGUUUUGGCCCCCACAAUAAACCCUAGGGCCUACUUUGAUGGCGGCUGCCACCGUGGAGCCAGACACUUUUGUUAGGUGGGGCAUCAAGAGAAUUAUUAAUAUAUUAUAGUUAAGGUAAUUAAUAAUAUUUAUUAUUAUUAUUAAAAUUAAAUAAUUUUAAAUAUUAAUUAUUAAAAUGUAUGAAAUUAAACCAUCAUAAUACUAAAAAUAUUUUUUAAAAAAAGUUAGAUUAUAUAUAUAUAUAUAUAUAUAUAUAUAUAUAUCAAGAACAUUUAAAAGGAAAUUUCAAAAGAAACAAAAACUAGAAAAAAAAUCAUUAGAAAUUCUGAAUAAUUUUAAUUAUUUUGUAGCAAAAACCCUUAAAAGUUAUUUUUUAAAAAUUUAAGUACUUAUAUUAUAAAUUUUGAUAUCUUCGUGGAAAAUAUGUGCGUCUUUAAAUAUGAUAAUAGGACAAGGACAAUUGACAAAGAUUAAACUUAUGAUGAUAAUUAAUCAUUUAUGUCCAACUAGUCCAUGGUCUUUCCAAGUUUUCCUUCUUUCCAUUCAAAAACGGCAUGCUAUUACUAGUCGAUAGGACAUACAAAUUACCCAAAACCACCAAGUGCUCAAGGCAACUGGAGGGGCAUUUUGGUCAUUCUCGUUAGAAAUUUUCCCCAUUGUGAUGUGUCUUUGACUGGUUGGCAUCUAGGACUUGGUCUUUGCGCAGUUGGUAACUAUGACGGCUUGGAAAUUGGAAAAUAUUAUUGUACCGAAAAUGAAACAUUCAAUGUGUAUAUAUAGCCUAGGUUUUGUGAGCAAAUGUAUAUGACUCAAGUUUUGUGAGCAAAGGUAUAUCAUAACUCAGGUUUUGUGAGCAAAGGGUGUGCACUGUAGCCAUGGCUAAAGCUCUCCUCAUUUCACCUUCCUACUUCAUCUUCUUCAUCUUCUUCGUUUUCUCUUAUGCCACAAUCCCAGUUUUCGGAGAAGAAUAUAGCUAUGUCAAAACUGUUGAUUUUGAGAAAAUGAAUCUACCGAAGGAAAAGGUAACACACUUUCAACUUUAUUGGCAAGAUGUUGUUAGUGGGUCCAAUGCAACCUCUGUCACAGUGAUUCAACCAGUGAAUAACUCGUUACCAUUUUUUGGUAUGGUAAAUAUAAUUGAUAACUCAUUAACCGUUGGGCCAAAUUUGAGCUCAAAAACAGUUGGAAAGGCCCAAGGGCUUUAUGCAUCUACGGGACAAAAAGAAUCUUCAUUAUUGAUGGUUAUGAAUUUUGCAUUUACUGAUGGCAAAUACAAUGGUAGCACAUUCACCGUGGUAGGACGAAAUAAUGUAAAUGCUGAGGUGAGGGAAAUGCCGAUAAUCGGUGGCAGUGGGCUUUUCCGAUUUGCUAGAGGUUAUGCUUUAGCAUCAACUUACUCAUCCAACGACAAAGGAGAUGCCACUAUUGAAUACAAUUGUUAUGUCAUACAUUAUUGAUGUUUUUUCUUUUUCUUUUUUUAAUUUUUUGUGUGGAGUUUUGAUUCACAAUAGUGAUAUACUUAAAUAAUUGUGUGUUCCCACCAUAGGUAAGUGGGAUUCUCUAGUUUUGUUUAAUUUGAAUAAAUUAGGUGGCUUUUACUUCACCUAAUUGAAUGUAAGCAUACUUUAAUAAAAUAAAAUAAAAUGAUUAUUUAUGUGGAUUAAUUACUUUCUUGAAAUUUGUUAAACCAUACUUUACUCUAUUAUAAAAAAGUUGGAGAUAAGUAAAUUUAAAAGCUUAUAUCAACAAAGUUGAAGUGGCAUCACUUUUCUAUUCAACUUAUCUAGGCUUUGUUUGAUAAAAAUGACAUAAUUCUUUGAUUUCACAUGACCCAAAUUAUCUUAACCAAACUAAAAUAUAUUCAACUUUCACUAAUUUUUAGUCAUAUAUAAUGAUAAUGAAGUUAGAAAAAGCUCAAAAAUUUGUGGAGCAUUCCCAUUUACAAAAAUGUUUUUAAGAAAUGUUUUGAUGAAAAUUAUAAAUUUUAUUUACCUUGAUAUACAAGCUAACUUUUUCCUUUGUUUGACCUAAGAUAUCAUUUAAUUGAACAUAUUUCAAAAGAAGUUCAUUUAUUGCACCUCAUUGUUUACAUAUAACUCCACAUGAUGACUAGCUGCCUCCACCUCCAUUGGCCAUUCGGUAUAUAUUAUAAUAUUACCACAAAUUUUAAUAUUAUGAUGAUACAUGCAUAAACUUAAAUUCUAACAUUUAUUUAUUUAUUUAUUCUUUGUUAGUUUAUUUUUAUAGUUGGAGAUAUGAGUUUCAGACUAGUUCGAUUAGCAUGCACGUCUUAGCUCGGUAUAGUCAUCAUCUUGAUUGACUUACAACAUAUCAGGUAGUAAAAGUGUGAUUCAUUUCUUAUACUUGUUUCUCUAAACAAAUUCUAAAUCACUUAUUAUAUCUAACAUUUCUUUGGUACAGAUUAUAUGGCAACCUUAUGUUGAUGACAUGAAUGUUGGUCUUCCUGAUUAUUGUACUGCUGGGAAAUAUAUAUAGUGCACUAUCUCACCUUUGAUAUGUUUCCACAUAAUUGAAUGGUAUAGACCUGAUCGAGUAUUGCUGCAGUUUGGAUUUCAUCAAAGGAUUCCUCAGCCAUGUAAUAAUGAGUCAAUCUUACACAAAUGUGAUUUGAGAGGUAUACAUGAUGUUGAUUAGACUACUUGAUACGGAGACUACAUUCAAUGUUGGAUCUCUAGGCGUGAGCAUAUUGCUAGAGGCGAAAUGGUUUUAGGUUCAUUGGGGUAUCAUGAUCCAUACAUGGUGUGGUAUCGCUCCAUUACUAUUCGAUUUCUUACUCGAACUAGGUCCUUCCAUGAGGUACUGGUAAUUUUCAUGUUUUAUAUUUUUAUUAAAGUUUAUUUUAUUUUUAUAAGAAUUUAAUUUAUCUCCUAUUUGACUUACAGACUACCAGCAUACACCAGAUAUAUGAUAUUGCACCUCUAGAUGAUUUCCACAUUCGCAGACUAUGUAUGUAUUAGAGGCCAUACAUGAAAUGGAUCACUUAGAUGCUCCAUUUAAUGUUGAUGCUACUACACAGCUCCAACCUCGAUCAGGAGAUGUACGACCUACACGACAAGGGCCUCGUACAAGGGAGAUUAGGCAUACACCGGUUGUUACCUGAGUGCAACCAUUGAAUGACAUUAGUCCACCACCUCAUCAGCAGCCAAUAUCAUCCAUUACUCAAUCAAGAAGUGUAUGAACUAGAAGGGAAUGGGCUCACAUGAGAGGUAGUCUACCACCUCAUCAGCAGCCGAUAUCAUCCAUUACUCGAUCAGGAGGUGUAUGAACUAGAAAAGGAGCAGCUCAUACGAGAAGGACUACGCAUACAUUUGUUCUUGGAGAUGCAUCAUCGACUGACAUUAGCCCGCCACCUGUUGAGGAGACCCUUAUUACACCUAUGGAGGUGCCAUCCACACCACCCAUAGUAUUACUUGUUGCGUCAUCACCACAACCGAUAGAGGCUACAUUGGUUAAUGAGGAGUUAGUUCAUAUAGCAAAUGAUGAUAAGUGAGGAUAAAAGAAUGAUCGUGGUCGAGGACGUGGUAGGAGACGUGGUCGUGGAGUUCAUGAAGGGAUACAUGUUAGCCCCAUAGAGCCAAUAGUGGAACAUGCAUAUCAUGGACGUCCACAACGAACAAUAAAGGCUCAUUCAUGCAGUACACAUUGAGGACGUUACUACAUAUGACUUGUAUUUUGGAUACUAUUAGUAUUUUGCAUAUCAUUAUUUUGGACAAAUACUUAAGAUGUAUAUUUAUACUUGUUAUAUUUUGGAUUAACUAACUUUUUAUUAACGCAAGUUCUAUUGUAUUCUAUCUAUUUUGGACUUAUUUUACACAAAAUAGUAUUGUUACUAUUUUGGAAAGGUGCUGAUUUAAUUGACAUUUGGUUUACUUGUUUUCAUUGGUUUUGGAUUGAAUGUCAAAAUAUUGAAUAUAAUGUAUACAGGUGAUAAACUUUAAACAUUUGGUUAUAUAUAUAGAAGGUAAUAUUGAUUAAAAGAUAGAUUUUUUUUUCUUUUGUGGAAGGUGUCUCUUCAAGAGAUACAUUCGGCAUAAAUUCGAAAUUUUCCACUAUGUGUGGAAAUUGUAGUAAGUGUCUCUUGAAGAGACACUUACAGUAUAAACCUAAUUUUUAAAAAAUUAUGGAAGGUGUCUAUUCAAGAGACACCUUUAGUAUAAUUCCAUUUUUUUGGAAAUGUGGAAGGUAUCUCUUGAAGAGACACCUUCAGUAUAAAUUCGAAAUUUUCCCUAUGUAUGGAAAUUGUGAAAAGAGUCUCUUGAAAAGACGCUUUCAAUAUAAACCCAAUUUUUUUAAAAUUAUGGAAGGUGUCUCUUCAAGAAACACCUUUAGCAUAAAUUCAAAAUUUUCAACUAUGUAUGGAAAUUGUAGAAAAGAGACACUUUCAAUAUAAACCCAAUUUUUUUAAAAUUAUGGAAGAUGUCUCUUCAAAAGACUUCUUUAGUAUAAAUCCAUUUUUUAGGGAAUUAUUUCGAAAAUUUCAACUAUGUAUGGAAAUUGUGGAAAGUGUCUCUUGAAGAAACACUUUCAGUAUAAACCCAAUAUUUUUUUUUUUUAAAUUAUGGAUUUAGUAUAAAUCCAAUUUUUUGGGGAUUGUAGGUGUCUUUCAAAAGACAUCUUUAAUAUAAAAUCAAUACAAGUUAAAAUUUGUGAAAUUGUGGAAUCAAAAGGCACUUUUAGUAUAUAUUGGAAUUUAUGGAAUUGUGGAAAGUGUCUCUUGAAGAAACACCUUUAGAAUAAAUCCAAUUUUGUGGGAAUGGUAGAAGGUGUCUUUUGAAAAUACACCUUCAAUAUAAAAUCAAAUUUAAGAGACACAUAGUAGUAUAAAUUAAAAUUUAUGAAAUUAUGGAAGAGACACCUUCAAUAUAAAUCCAAUUUUUUGGGAAUAGUAUAAUGUUUCUUUUUAAGAGACUCAUUUAGUAUAUAUUAGAUUUUGUGGAAUUGUAGAAGGUGUCACUUGAAGACAUGCUUUCAGUAUAAAUCCAAUUUUUUUUGAAUUGUAAAAUGUAUCUUUUGAAGAUUCAAUAUAAAAUCAAAUUUAAGAGACACAUGAUAUAAAUUAAAAUUUGUGAAAUAGUGAAAAGUGUCUCUUGAAAAAACACUUUUAGUAUAUAUUGAAAUUUAUAGAAUUGUGGAAAGUGUCUCUUCAAGACACACCUUUAGUAUAAAUUCAAAUUUUUUGGAAUCGUAAAAGGUGUCUCCAAACACCUUUAAUACAUAUUGGAUUUUGUGGAAUUGUGGAAAGUGUAUUUUCAAGAGACACCUAAAAUUCAAUUUUCUAAAAUUAUAGAAGUCAAGAGAUACAUUUAGGUUAAAUUCAAUUCUUUUAAAUAUGUAUCAUGAUUUUGAAAAUUUUGGAAGGUGUUUCUUCAAAAGACACCUUCCACGUGGCAAAAAACUGUCGUAGAUCUAUCAAUAUUUUUUCAACUACCAUUUUUUAAAAUUGCUGCAAAAGUUAAAAAAGCCCGUAUAGAAGUAGUGUUAUUAAGUAUCAAACUUUAAAGUAAACAAUUCUAAAAGCAUUUUUUAAAUAUUUUAUGGGAUACUAUUUUUUAAAAAUAAUAUUAAUUAAAUAAAAAAUCCUAACACUAAAACCCAAUACAUGUAUGUAUAGGCAUCCGUUGCCAAGCUGAUUUUUUAAGGAAAGGAAUUGAAUAUUAAGGAGAAUUGUGUUUUGGAGUCAAUUGAGCCCAAAAAUUAAGACUUGACCCAUGAAAGUUACAUAAUUGAUGAGAAUGAUAUAAAAUAUGAAAAGACUAAUAUACCCUUCAAAACUAUUUUAAGUAUUUUCUACCACAAUGUUUGACAAAUUUUUUUAUUUUAAUUUUUUUAAUAAUUAUUCUAAAAAUUUAUUAUUUUUAGAAACUAAUUUUUUUUAAAAAUAUAAUUCUAAAAACAUAUCAUUUUAAAAAAAUAAUUUUGACAUAUUUUUAGUUAUUUUUUACCUACAUAAUUUUAAAUAUAUAUAUUUUUCAAGAUGUUUGAUUUUUAAAUAAUAAUAAUAAUAAUAAUAAUAAUAAUUUAUUUUUAGUUUUUUUUAAAAGGGGCAUUUUUUUUCCAAAUCACUGAAUUAAAUUAAAAUUUAUUGAGGUUUACAAAAGAAAUAAAAUUUAAAUUAAUAUUUUUCUACUUUUUUUUCAUCUUCAAUAAAUGUUAUUUUUGGAAAAAUAAAAAAUCUAUAUCCUUCAUCUCAAUUUCCAUACUUCUUUUUAGUCUUGGGCUUAAAUAGUGAAUUUAUAUGGACUAAAACUUAAUUUUUAAACUCAAUUAGGUCUAAAACACAAUUAUACCUAAAUAUUAAUUCUCAUAUGGUCUCUCUCUCCUCCUCUCUCUCUCAUAUUCUUUGAAGAAUCUAUAAUCUAUAGAGUUGACUUUUUUAAUGCCCAUGAGCAGCUGAUUUUUGAAGGAAAGUGAUUGAAUAUUAAUGGUUGUGAGACCCAUUCUCAUAUGUUCUCUCUUCCUCUCCCCCUUUCUCUCUCAUAUUCUAUGAUAGAAUCCAUAGUCAAUAGGGUUGAUUUUUUUUUUUUUAAUGCCCAAGAGCAGCUGAUUUUUGAAGGAAAGUGAUUGAAUAUUAAGUUGUGAGACCCACUCUCAUAUGUUCUCUCUAUCUCCCCCUCUCUCUCAUAUUGUAUUAUAGAAUCUAUAAUCUAUAGGGUUGAUUUUUCUUUUUUUAACGCCCAUGAGCAGCUGAUUUUUGAAGGAAGGUGGUUGAAUCUUAAUGGGUUGUGAGACCCAUUAAUAUAGAGAGGAACUCAAAAUCCUAAUAAAAAUGUAUUUCAAUUAAUAAUGGAUUUUUAAUUCAUAUGCUCAUUUUUAAUAAUUAAUUCAAAUAAAAUAACAAAUUAAAAGUAAAAUUGAUUUUUUAAUUUCAUUUUUUAUUUCAAUGUCUCAAAUAUAUACAAAAAAUAUGAUGAUUAUUUUCAAGGUUUAUAAAACAAUUCUACAAAAAUAGAUUUUUAAAAAAUAUUUAAAAAUAAGGUGUUUGAUAAAUCAACUUAAUUACUUAAUUUAAAUAAUUAAAUAAAUUAGAUAUAUUUUUUAAAAUAAUUUAAUAUUAAAAUUAUUUUUAAUUUUUAAUAUUAAAUUAAACUAAUUAAUUUAUAUUUUAUUUCAAAACCUUUUUACCUCAUUUUCCCAUACCAAUGCAAAAUAAUUAACAUAUAUACCAAACCUUGGCUCACGAGUUUCAAUGGUAAAAUGACAAUUUUAUCCAGUAGGAUGAAGGGUUUUGGCCCACCACAAUAAACCUUAGGGCCUGCCUACUUUGUUGGCGGCUGCCACCGUGGAGCCAGACACUUUUGUUAGGCGGGGCAUCAAGAGAAUUAUUAAUAUAUUAUAGUUAAGGUAAUUAAUGAUAUUUAUUAUUAUUAAAAUUAAAUAAUUUUAAAUAUUAAUUGUUAAAAUGUAUCAAAUUAAACAACCAAUAUUUUUUUAAAUAAAUUAGAUUUUAUAAAAACAUUAUCAAGAAGAUUUAAAAGGAAAUUUCAAAAUAAAUAAAAACUAGAAAAAAAAAUAUUAGAAAUUUUGAAUAAUUUUAAUUAUUUUGUAGUAAAAAACCAUAAAAUUUAUUUUAAAGAAUUCAAUCAUUUAUAUUAUAAGUUUUGAUAUUUUUCAUGAAAAAUUGUGCUCCGAGGAUUAAAAUUUUUAUAGAUAUCAAAAUUAAUAUCUUAAUUUUUUUUCAAAUAACUAAAUAUAAGAUAGUUGAAAUGAAAUCUUUUACUUAAAACUUAUGUUUUAUAUAAUACGUCAUUACGAAGCAUGUUAAAAGUUUUAUUUUUUAUGAUUUAGUUAAGUCUAAUAAAAAACAAGUAUAAAAAUGAAAAAUUUUGAAUAAACAAAAAGAAAGAAAUACCAACAUUAAAAGCGAUUUUUUUUAAUUUUAGUUCAAUUUUAAUAUUUGAUUAGUAAUUAAUAAUCAAUAUUAUUUUUUUGAUAAUAAUAUUUAGUUGUCAUUGUUUUAAAUUUUAUAUUUAUAUUUUUUUAGAGGGGAUAAAUUUUCUAUUUUGGUUUUUAUUUUCCUAAAAAAAUUUAACAUAUAAAAUUGACGGUGUGGGGUACACGUGGCCCCCAUGAGCCUGACUUGAAUGGCAAGCAGGACUCAUUUUCUAGAAAAAAAAAAUUGUUUCUAGAAAAUUGAGGGUUGGGGAAUGGGGACGGGACAUGUGACCCCCCUGAGCCUUACUUGGGUGGCGGCAGGGCGCGUUUUCUAGAAAAAGUUACGUCCAACUAGUCCGGGGUCUUUCCAACUUUUCCUUCUUUCCAUUCAAAAAAGGCAUACUAUCACAAGUCGAUAAGACAUACAAAUUACCCAAAACCACCAAUUGCCCAAGGCACCAAAACAAGUAAUCUGGAGGGGCAUUUUGGUCAUUAUCUUUAGAAAAUUUCCCCAUUGUGACGUGUCUUCGAGCGGUUGGCAACUAGGACUUGGUCUUUGCGCAGUUGGUAACUAUGACGCCUUGGAAAUUGGAAAAAUAUUAUUCUACGGAAAAUGAAACAUUCAAUAUAUGUAUAUAUAGCCUAGGUGUUCUGAGCAAAUGUAGAUAACUCAGGUUUUGUGAGCAAAGGCACAUCAUAACUCAAGUUUUGUGAGCAAAGGGUGUGCACAGUAGCCAUGGCUAAAGCUCUCCUCAUUUCACCUUCUUACUUCAUCUUCCUCGUCUUCCUCAUUUUCUCCUAUGCCACAAUCCCAGUUUUCGGAGAAGAAUACAGUUAUGUCAAAACUAUCGAUCUUGAGAAAAUGAAUCUGCCGAAGGAAAAGGUAACACACUUUCAACUUUAUUGGCAAGAUGUUGUUAGUGGGUCUAAUGCAACCUCAGUUACAGUGAUUGAAGCACUGAAUAACUCAACAUUUUUUGGUUCGGUAAAUAUAAUUGAUAACUCGUUGACCGUUGGGCCAAAUUUGAGCUCAAAAACAGUUGGAAAAUCCCAAGGGUUAUACGCAUCUACAGGACUAGAAGAAUCUUCAUUAUUGAUGGUUAUGAAUUUUGCAUUCACCGAUGGCAAGUAUAACGGUAGCACAUUUACCGUGGUAGGACGAAACAAUGUAAAUGCUGAAGUGAGGGAGAUGCCAAUAAUUGGUGGUAGUGGGCUUUUCCGAUUUGCUAGAGGCUAUGUUUUAGCAUCGACUUACUCAUUCAGCGACAAUGGAGAUGGCACUAUUGAAUACAAUUGCUAUGUCAUACAUCAUUGAUAUUUUUUCUUUUUUUAGUUUUUCUGUGGAGCUUUGGUCCAUAAUAGUGAUAUACUUGAAUAAUCGUGUGUUCCCACCAUUACUAUGUGGGAUUAUCUAGUUUUGUUUAAUUUGAAUAAAUUAGGUGGCUCUUACUUCAUUUGAUUUAAUGUAAGCAUACUGCGAUAAAAUAAAAUAAAAUAUUUGUUUGUAUGAAUUAAUUACUUUCUUGGAACUUGUUAAACUAUACUUUAUUUUAAAAAAAAAUAGAGAGAAGUAAAUUCCAAAGCUCGUAUCAACAAAGUUGAAGUGUUAAUCACUUUUCUAUUCAACUUAACAACUUUUUGUGGGUUGAUUUGAUAUGUUUGAAUUAUUACACAUAUAUAUAUAUGGCUUUUGAAUAUAAGGCUAAUUGGGAGGACUACCUUUACUUUGUUUAAUAAGAAUGGAAUAUUUCUUUGAUUUCACAUUACUCAAAUUAUAUUAACCAAACUAAAAUAUAUUCAACUUUCACUAAUUUUUAGUCAUAUAUAAUGAUAAUGAAGUUAGAAAAAAGCUCAAAAAUUUGAGUUGCAUUCCCAUUUACAAAAAUGCUUUUAAGAAAUGUUUUGAUGAAAACUAUAAAUUUAUUUUACUUUGAAAUGAUAGAUAAGUUUAACUCUUUCUUUUGUUUCAUCUAAGAUAUGAUUUCAUUGAACAUAUUUCAAAAGAAUAUAUGAUUCUUAAACAUUCAAGAGUACCCUUGAAUUAGAAAACCAAUAAAAGAACCCAAUCAGACAAUUGGUUAGAAAAAAAAAAUGUAAAACACGAAAAAAAAUUAAAACUACAAAUGUGGGGAAAAAUAAAAACCUAAAAGAUCUAGCAUAUCAAUGUCAGAUAACACGUAAAAACAAUACUAAAAAGGAUGUGCUUGCUUCAUUAGGGGAUGGAGGAGAAUUUCCUUUUUUUAGUAAAAAAAAGUUAGAAGUUUCGCAACUUCAAUAAACUUCUAAUAAUUUUUAUAUCUUAUAUACAAAUUAUUAUUAUUAUUAUUUUGUAUUUUUUAAAAAUAUAUGAAAUACAUUCAAAUGGGCACUUAAUUAUAAAUAAAUGAUAGCUAUUCUACCAUUUCUCUAAUAAUAAAAAAAUUAUUUUUCAAUGAAUUUAGCAUUCAAAAAGCUUUAAAUCAUUUUUUUUCUACUGAUUGUGUAAUAGUAGAUGAUGAAAAAUUAACAAUAAAUGAUUAAUUAUCAUCAUAUGUUUAAUCUUUAUCAAUUAUCCUUGUCCUAUUAAAGCAAGGUGACAAGUUGAAUGUGAUUAGGUUUAUGAAAGUUGAAAUCAAUCGUCCUCAUCCUUGUAUGCAAGUGGGUCAUGGACUCAUGGCAUGUGGCUAUAGCCCAUUGAAUGUAUAGAAGUAGUGUUAUCAAAUAUCAAACUUUAGAGUAAACAAUUUUAUAGGCCACAUCCAUGAUCCACCCUAGAGAAUUGGAAAAAUAAUUUUAUUAAGGUUAAGCAACAAUGGGAUUUGAUUUGAUUGUAAUGUGAUUUGAGGGGAGAAUGAAAGGAGUGGGUCAUUGGGAUAAUGUUGGUUAUAUUUGUGGCCAAUGGGUAGGAUCCCAAGUGGGAGAAAAUGUAAAGAAAUGUAAGGUGAUUAUGGUUUUUUGGUUUUUGUUAGGGUUCUCUAAAGUAGAUUAGGGGAAGAAUGAGAAAGUGAGCCCCAUUAUUUUGAAUGAUUAGUUUUUUUAAUUUUUUAUAAGAUGAUUUUGUGUAAAAUAAAAAAAAUACAAAAAAUACAAAAUUAAAGGACAGGAUAUUUAUUAAUUAUUAAGAAGAAAUGGAAUUUUUGGAAAAAAAAUUGCAUAUAAAAUAUUUUUUGAAAAGACAACUAUUUUUUUUUAUCUAAAAUCAUAUAUGAAAAAGACAUUUUAAAAGCUUUUUUAAAUAUUUUAUGGGAUACUAUUUUUAAAAAAUAAUGUUAAUUAAAUAAAUAAAAAAUCCUAAUACUAAAACCCUGCAGCAAAAAGUUGGCAACAAAGCAUGUUUAUCUCCAAGUUUUGCCAUCCAUUGUCAUUUUUUAGUUGUCCUUUUUCCAUUGAGUUAAAUAAAAUGGAUGUGAUGGUGGUGCAUGCCUUGGUGGAGCCAAUUCUUUGCCACCCAAGUUUUUAAUUUAUGUUCUUAUUUUUAAUAAUUAAUUCACAUAAAAUAACAAAUUAAAAGUGAAAUAGAUUUUUUAAUUUCAUUUUUUGUUUCAAUGUUUCAAUAUCUCAAACAUGAGAAUUAUUCUCAGAUAUUAGAAAGAUUUAUAAAACGAUUCUGAAAAUAUAAUUUUUUCAAAAAAUGUUCAAUUAUAAAGUAUUUGGUUAAUCAAUUUAAUUAUUUAAUUUAAGUUAUUAAAUAUAUUUAAUAAAAUAAUUUAAUAUUAAAAUUAUUUUUAACUUUUAAUAUUAAAUUAAAAUAAUUAACUUAUACUUAAUUUCAAAACUUUUUACCUCGUUUUUCAUAUUAAUAUAAAAUAAUUAACAGACCUACCUUGGCUCACAAGUUUGAAUAGUAAAAUGACAAUUUUAUCCAAUAGGAUGAAGGGUUUUGGCCCACCACAAUAAACCUUAGGGCCCACUUUGAUGGCGGCUGCCACCGCGGAGCCAGACACUUAUGUUAGGUGGGCCAUCAACAGAAUUAUUAAUGUAUUAUAGCUAAGGUAAUUAAUGAUAUUUAUUCUCGUUAUUAUUAUUAUUAUUAUUAAAAUUAAAUAAUUUUAAAUAUUAAUUAUGAAAAUGUAUCAAAUUAAACAACCAAUACUAAGAAUAUUUUUUAAAAAAAAUUAGAUUAUAUAUAUAUAUAUAUAUAUAUUAAAAAAAUUAGCAAGAACAUUUAAAGGGAAAUUUCAAAAUAAAUAAAAACAAAAAAAAAAAUCAUUAGAAAUUUUGAAUAAUUUUAAUUAUUUUAUCACAAAAACCCGUAAAAGUUAUUUUUAAAAAAUCAAGCAUUUAUGUUAUAAAUUUUGAUAUUUUUCAUGGAAAAUGUGUGUGUUUUUAAAUCUCAAUUAUUUUAUAACAUAAUUUUAUUUAUUUAUAUCUUAAUCAUAUUUAUAUUCAAAGACCUAAAUUUUUCUAUGUGCUUUUAAAAAUAAAGAUUAAAAUUUCAAUAGAUGUCCAAAUUAAUACUUUUAAAUUUUUUUCUUUUUUCAAAUAAUUAAAUAUACAAUAAUCAAAAGUAAAGUUGUUUACUUAAAAUUUAUGUUUCAUAUAAUAAGUUAUUAUGAAAACAGUAGCAAUUUAAAAGUAUUAUUUUUUAUGAUUUAAUUAAGUAUAAUAAAAAAUAAGCAUGAAAAUGAAAAAGAUUGAAUAAACAAAAAGAAAUAAAUGCUAAUAUCAAAUGAGAAUUUUUUUAAAUUUUAGUUCAAUUUUAAUAUUUUAUUAGUAAUUAAUGGUCAAUAUUAUUUUUUUGGUAAUAAUAUUUAGUUGUCAUUAUUUUGAAAAUUAAAUUCAUAUUUUUUUUUUAGAAGGGAUAAAUUUUCUAUUUUGGUUUCUAUUUUCCUAAAAAAGUUUUGACAUAUAAGGGAAUUUGUUUGUUUCUAGAAAAUUCAGAGGGCCAGGUGCCCUGAGCCUUACCUGGCACCGCCAGAGGCGGCAAGACUCAUUUUCUAGAAAAAGUUUUUAUAUGUUUUCCUUCUUCCCAUUCAAAAAAUGAGUGCUAUUACAAGUCGAUAAGACUUUGAAAUUACCCAAAACCACCAAGUGCCCAAGCCACCAAACCCAAUAAGCUGGAGGGCCAUUUUGGUCAUUCUCGUUAGAAAUUUUCUCCAUUGUGAUGUGUAUUUGAGCGGUUGGCAACUACGACUUGGCCUUUGCCCGGUUGGAAACUUCAUACUGACUUUGAAUUUGGAAAUGUCAAUUUUAUUGUACGGAAAAGUCAUUCUUAUUGUAUGAAAAAUCAACCAAUCGAUACAUAUAUAUAGCCUAGGUUUUGUGAGCUAAGGUAUAUACCUCAAGUUUUGUGAGCAAAGGUUUAUAGCUCAAGUUUUGUGAGCAAAGGUUUAUAGCUCAAGUUUUGUGAGCAAAGGGUGUGUAUUGUAGUCAUGGCUAAAACUCUCCUUGUUUCACCUUCCUACUUCAUCUUCUUCAUCUUUCUCAUUUUUUCUUCUACCACAACUCCAAUUUUUGGAGAAGAAUAUAGCUAUGUUAAAAGUGUCAAUCCUAAAAAAAUGAAGAUACCGAGAGAAAAGGUAAGUCAUUUUAAACUUUAUUGGCAGGAUGAUGUUAGCGGGUCUAAUGCAACUUCCGUCACAGUGAUUGAAGCACUGAAUAACUCGUCACCAUAUUUUGGUAUGGUAAAUAUAAUUGAUAACUCGUUAACCGUUGGGCCAAAUAUGAGCUCAAAAACGGUUGGAAAGGCCCAAGGGCUUUACGCAUCUACGGGACAAGAAGAUGCUUCAUUAUUGAUGGUUAUGAAUUUUGCAUUCACUGAUGGCAAGUACAAUGGUAGCACAUUCACUGUGUUAGGACGAAACAAUGUAAAUGCUGAGGUAAGGGAGAUGCCAAUAAUCGGUGGCAGUGGGCUUUUCCGAUUUGCUAGAGGCUAUGCUCUAGCAUCAACUU